AUGAACGCUGGCGGCGUGCCUAAUACAUGCAAGUCGAGCGAACAGACGAGGAGCUUGCUCCUCUGACGUUAGCGGCGGACGGGUGAGUAACACGUGGAUAACCUACCUAUAAGACUGGGAUAACUUUGGGAAACCGGAGCUAAUACCGGAUAAUAUAUUGAACCGCAUGGUUCAAUAGUGAAAGACGGUUUUGCUGUCACUUAUAGAUGGAUCCGCGCCGCAUUAGCUAGUUGGUAAGGUAACGGCUUACCAAGGCAACGAUGCGUAGCCGACCUGAGAGGGUGAUCGGCCACACUGGAACUGAGACACGGUCCAGACUCCUACGGGAGGCAGCAGUAGGGAAUCUUCCGCAAUGGGCGAAAGCUUGACGGAGCAACGCCGCGUGAGUGAUGAAGGUCUUCGGAUCGUAAAACUCUGUUAUUAGGGAAGAACAAAUGUGUAAGUAACUAUGCACGUCUUGACGGUACCUAAUCAGAAAGCCACGGCUAACUACGUG
rnacentral:rRNA from 1 species